ensembl:snoRNA
GCAGACUCGCUCUGUUUAAGUCUGACGAAUCCAGACUUAGACUUUUUAUGUCUGCGACAGUAACGUUAGAAGGACGUUAUAACCUGCCUUGCCAUUCACUUGGGAGGUGACCGUGCCUUCUCAGACAUUUUA